AGCGAACGCUGGCGGCAGGCCUAACACAUGCAAGUCGAACGGAUCCUUCGGGAUUAGUGGCGGACGGGUGAGUAACACGUGGGAACGUGCCCUUUGGUUCGGAACAACUCAGGGAAACUUGAGCUAAUACCGGAUGUGCCCUUCGGGGGAAAGAUUUAUCGCCGUUGGAGCGGCCCGCGUCUGAUUAGCUAGUUGGUGAGGUAAAGGCUCACCAAGGCGACGAUCAGUAGCUGGUCUGAGAGGAUGAUCAGCCACAUUGGGACUGAGACACGGACGAAACUCCUACGGGAGGCAGCAGUGGGGAAUCUUGCGCAAUGGGCGAAAGCCUGACGCAGCCAUGCCGCGUGAAUGAUGAAGGUCUUAGGAUUGUAAAAUUCUUUCACCGGGGACGAUAAUGACGGUACCCGGAGAAGAAGCCCCGGCUAACUUCGUGCCAGCAGCCGCCGUAAUAC
rnacentral:rRNA from 1 species